rnacentral:rRNA from 1 species
AUUGAACGCUGGCGGCAUGCCUUACACAUGCAAGUCGAACGGUAACAGGUCUUCGGAUGCUGACGAGUGGCGAACGGGUGAGUAAUACAUCGGAACGUGCCCGAUCGUGGGGAUAACGGAGCGAAAGCUUUGCUAAUACCGCAUACGAUCUACGGAUGAAAGCAGGGGACCGCAAGGCCUUGCGCGGACGGAGCGGCCGAUGGCAGAUUAGGUAGUUGGUGGGAUAAAAGCUUACUAAGCCGACGAUCUGCAGCUGGUCUGAGAGGACGACCAGCCACACUGGGACUGAGACACGGCCCAGACUCCUACGGGAGGCAGCAGUGGGGAAUUUUGGACAAUGGGCGCAANCCUGAUCCAGCCAUGCCGCGUGCAGGAUGAAGGCCUCGGGUUGUAAACUGCUUUUUGUACGGAACGAAAAGACUCUGGUUAUACCUGGGUCCAUGACGGUACCGUAAGAAUAAGCACCGGCUAACUACGUGCCAGCAGCCGCGGUAAUACGUAGGGUGCAAGCGUUAAUCGGAAUUACUGGGCGUAAAGCGUGCGCAGGCGGUGAUGUAAGACAGAUGUGAAAUCCCCGGGCUCAACCUGGGAACUGCAUUUGUGACUGCAUCGCUGGAGUACGGCAGAGGGGGAUGGAAUUCCGCGUGUAGCAGUGAAAUGCGUAGAUAUGCGGAGGAACACCGAUGGCGAAGGCAAUCCCCUGGGCCUGUACUGACGCUCAUGCA